AGCGGCGGACGGGUGAGUAACGCGUGGGUAACCUGCCUCAUACAGGGGGAUAACAGUUAGAAAUGACUGCUAAUAUCGCAUAAGACCACGGUACCGCAUGGUACAGUGGUAAAAACUCCGGUGGUAUGAGAUGGACCCGCGUCUGAUUAGGUAGUUGGUGGGGUAACGGCCUACCAAGCCGACGAUCAGUAGCCGACCUGAGAGGGUGACCGGCCACAUUGGGACUGAGACACGGCCCAG
rnacentral:rRNA from 1 species